GACGAACCGGACAAACGUUAUUCGGAAUCACUGGGCUUAAAGGGUGCGUAGGCGGUCCUGUAAGUUGGGUGUGAAAUCCCUCGGCUUAACCGAGGAAUUGCGCUCAAAACUGUAGGACUUGAGGAAGAUAGAGGUGAGCGGAACUUAGGGUGGAGCGGUGAAAUGCGUUGAUAUCCUAAGGAACACCAGAGGCGAAAGCGGCUCACUGGGUCUUUUCUGACGCUGAGGCACGAAAGCUAGGGGAGCGAACGGG
rnacentral:rRNA from 1 species